CAUAGUGUAGGUCACAGGAAUUCCACCGAGGCACUUUCCCUGCAAAGCAAAGAUGAUAGCACCUGGCUAGUAAUCUUAUUGGGGAAACAAACAAAGCUGAGAAUGAGGUCAGCCACAGGUGUCCCCAAGGUGGUGGGACACAGAGAAAGUGAAGAAGCUGGGUGGGUGGUGGGAGGGCAGGAAGGAGGGAGAAUCCACCAGAACAUCUCUAGCCUCCACAAGACCAGCUCAUCAGGAAGUUGAAAUGGAGGGAAGUGAGCUGGACUGUUUUGUAAAACAGCUAAGCAAUGGACUGAUUUCCUGAAAAGACUAGGAGUUUAUCACAAAGAGAAUAUGGGUACGAAAAGAGCUGACGAGAAUUCCUCUUUCUAGAGGCACUUGCUGUGUUGCACUUUCAAAUUUGUCAAAAGUAUAACUCUCUUUUUAUUGUUCUACGUAAUCGUAGCGACAGAAAGAGCCUGAGACGCUGUGAGCAGCGACUUCCCAGUCAGUCACUGAAUUCACAAGCUAAACUGUCAAAGCUCCAUAGAGCUCUUGUUGCUCCUCCCUGUAGGACGAGAACCUACCCUCGUACAGUACAACUGAUCUCUGGCUCUCAGCAGACCCGUCACCGAGAACCAUGCCAUCCCACCUGGCCAGCUGCCACGAACCCCUUUGGAUGCAAUACACAGCCUGAAGCUGCUCACUUCUGUGGAUAUUGCCCUCCUGGCUACGCUGCAAGAGAGAGCCCUGCUGACUAGAGUUCCCCCAGCCCUAAUCCUACCUGGUUACGGGUCCUUUUCUUUUCCCACCACGUGUGCUGCCAAGCUUGCCCAGUGAGUUUGGCUCAUGAUGUUAUCACAACAUAGGGUUAAUUUUACGGGUGUCUCUCUCCGUGGUAAACAAGUUAUUCACAUUAUCUGUCAUCCCCAUUAAUCCUGCUCGGGGAAACUGGAAGGAGCAGCUUUAAGUGGUUACGCUUUGCCCUGUGUGACCCCACCCCUAGAGCUCAUUGGUUCAGGACGUACUCCUAACCAACAGGCAGUCAAUCAAUAGGCUUGUCAGCAACUCAUUUCAUAACCUGGCACUCAUACACAUAAAAGCUGGGUUAAUCCUUGCUUCUUUCUUGGAAAUAUAAACAGAGAAAUGACAAGAAAGAAAGAUGUAGCAGGUUGCUUAGGAACAAGAAAAUAAGAGUGGAAGCCACAAUGGGUCAUCAUAAUAAGUCCAAAUUGCAAAAUAUUGAAACUAUGAGCAAGCAGAAGUGAUGGAGGAGAGAAGAGUUUCAAGCCAAGGGAAACAAGAAGCUGAGAGAAGCAUCUAGGUCAAUGGGCAUGACCUUCCAGCCCCUGCCACAGAGCCCUAGAGUCUCCUGAAACUAGAGUAGCUCCCCAGUCCCAGGGCUCUGAGCUUGCCCCCUCCAUCUGUGGAAGACCAACUCCACAUUUAGUUUUACAAGAAAACUCCCUCCUGAACUAGCCUGCCUGUGUCUGCUCCUUAAGACCAAGAAAACCCUCCCAUUUUACGUAUGUUCUCUGUGUGCAAAGAGGGUGGCAUGUAUCUUUGUAGCUGUUUACCCCUAAUAUAAUGCAUGCUAAGCAAUGGGUUCUCAGUAAAUGAAUGCUGAAUAAAAGAAUUUUUAAAAGCCCA
rnacentral:lncRNA from 1 species